AUGACAAGCCCCUCUUUGACGUUGGCAUCAUUGAAGGUUCUGCAAGGCGUCUACGCUCGGGGAACUUCACAGAUAGGUGCUCCAAAGGGAAAGUGGUGGAGCAUUUAGGUGUGUCGAGAGGAGAGCUCUUCAUUUGGGAUGAGAGCCUUUGAAGAUGAAACAACUGCAUUCCAAGUCCCAGUCUCCCUCCCUGGAGACAUGCUUUCCAAAAGGCUACAGCCACAGCACAAAGCCAACCUUGACAUUUGCAUAAAUCCAUCAGUGUCACCACGACAGCGCCGACUCCUAGGUCGCCAUCCGCCGUUAAAUUUAGAAAAAAACCAAAACUAGGCAGGAAUGGUGAAAAAAAACACAGCAAAGGUUGUAAAGGUUUUGCAUUGCUAUGCUGCAGUCAGAUGAUUACAUUGACAGGUCUCAGGUGAGCGCUUUUCAGGCACAAGCUAUACAAAAAACAGCCAUGGCUUUUGUUAUUGCCUGGAGUUUUACAACAUGACAUGUAAGUGUGCGUGAGAUUGUUUAUGUGUGUGAGAGAGUGCUGCUUGAAGGAGGAGGCAGUGCAUAUGAAUUCGUCUGUCCAAGAUUCACGAGUAAAUGCUGUGGACAAGGCCACUGGCCUCACCUGGCAGUCGAUUGUCGUAAUUUCACCGAUGUCACUUUCAAUUUAGCCAGCGACUGAGAUGAGAGAUAACUCUGCAGGCUGCACCCACACCACUCCACCUCCUGCUCUCUGGAGCUACAAGUGUGCAGGCUGCAACAGCAGUGGCUUACAGACAGGAAGUAGACAACUGUGUGAGAAGACACAAUUGCGUGUUUUUUUUUUUUUUUUUUAAUUGAGGUGCUGUGAAAUGAGAAUUAUAUUGUAAAAAGUCAACUAGAUCACUUGUUGUUACCUAUGUCUCAGGCUUUCUCCAAUUAUGUUCUAUAUUGUUCUAACCAAAUAUGUGACCCUGGACCACAAGACCAGUCAUAAGUAGCAUUUGUAUCAAUAGCCAACAAUACACUGUAUGGGUCAAAAUGAUCGAUUGUUUUUUUUUUAUGCCAAAAAUCAUUAGGAUAUUAAGUAAAGCUCAUGUUCCAUGAAGAUAUUUUGUAAAUAUCCUACCCUAAAUAUAUCAAAACUUAAUUUCUGAUUAGUAAUAUGCAUUGCUAAGAACUUAAUUUGGUAAAUUUAAAGGCAGUUUUCUCAAUAUUUCAAUUUUUUGUUAGUUUUUUUUUUUUUUUGCACCCUCAGAUUUCAGAUUUUUAAAUAAUUGUAUCUCGGCCAAGCAUUUUCCUAUCCUAACAAACUAUACAUCAAUGGAAAACUUAUUUAUUUAUUAUUGAUGUAUAAAUCUCAAUUUCAAAAAAACUGACCCUUAUGACUGGUUUUGUGGUCCAGUGUCACAUAUCAGCUAGUUUAGUUAGCUACCUAGCAACCCCAGAGUUACCCUAGCAACUGACAAGUGAGCAUUCGUGAGCUGCCACAUCACUAAAGCUGUUCCACCAUCAUGGCACUUCUGUUUGGUUAGCUAACCAUGCUGAGAAAUCUGUGCAUGGAAUGAUUUGUAAUUGUACAAUACUGAAUCUCACUAAUUGAAAUGCUGGGGAUGUUGUUUCUCAGUUCUCAAAAGCAUUCUGUGCUUUAUGAUGACUGAUGUGCUUGGUAUAUAAAUACUGUGCAUAAAUUGCACUCAUACAGUAAAUUUACAUACCUCUUACAAAAAUUGCAUUCUUUUGUUAUUCUACAAAAAACAGUCCAUUAUUCUGCUUGAUAUUGCAUAUUUGUCAUCAUAAUAUUUUGUAACACUUUACAAUAGAUCUCUUUAAUUAAAAUUAGUUAAAGGGAUACUUUAACUAAUGUUAAUUAAAGGGAUAUUGUUGAAUAAAGUCAUUAUUUUUGUUUUCUUCGCUUACAAAAAUAUAACCCAGAUUGCAUGUCUGAUGGCAGAUGGAGUAUUCUGACUGCGACUUUUAUACCUUUUAUGGACAUUGACACUGCUAUUUACUUGGCAGUCUAUGGAACAGUAACAGGCCUCCUGGUUUUCAUCCAAAAUAUCUUAAAUUGUGUUCAGAAGAAGAACGGAGCUUUUACGGGUUUGGAAUGACAAGGGAGUAAGUGAUUAAAUGACAAAAUUUUCAUUUUGGGGUGGAGUAUCCCUUUAAUUAGUUAACUAACAUUAAAUGGAUAGUUGAAAAUCAAAAAUGAAAAUUCUGUCAUCAUUUACUAAUCCUUAUGUCAUUCCAUACCGGUAUGAAUUUCUUUUGCUGAAUGCAAAAGAAGAUAUUUUGAAGAAUGUGGAUAAUCGAACAGUUUCUGGUCCACAUUAAUUUCUAUUGACUUUUCUCCAUACUGUGGAAGUCAAUGGCUACCAGCAACUGUUUGGUUACCAACAAUUUUCAAAAUCUUCUUUACAAAAGUAAACAGGAACCUUAUUAUAAAGUGUUAUUAUUUUGAAUAAUUAUCAAUCAUAAGUACACUGAUUUGUAGUUUAAAUACACUGAACAAAAUUAAAAAAAUGCAACACACUUGUUUUUGGCCCCAUUUUUCAUGAGCUGAACUCAAAGAUACUAGAGUGGCCUUUUAUUGUGGCCAGCCUAAGGCACACCUGUGCAAUAAUCAUGCUGUCUAAACAACAUCUUGAUAUGCCAGACCUGUGAGGUGGAUGGAUUAUCUCGGCAAAGGAGAAAUGCUCACUAACACAGAUUUAGACAGAUUGUUGAACAAUAUUUGAGAGAAAUCGGCCUUUUGUGUACAUAGAAAUAGUCUUAGAUCUUUGAGUUCAGUGUACUUUUACUAUUUACUGCACUUUGUUAUUAUUCUAGUUAAUUAUAUCGUCUAAUGAAUCUGAUAUUUGCACAUUCCCAGGAAAUAGCUUACUUUUGCAUCGAAAUAUAAGGUGGAUAGCCAGCAUGGAUAUUUCCUUGAAUACAGACCAUGAAAAUUGAUCAGAACUGUGUAAUUGUGUGGGAGUGACUCAGUAUUACCAAGAAAAUGAGCUCUGUUUGAGAAGAGAUCUCUGCUGAUAACACACAUCACAUGUAUCUGAAACAAGCAGUGAAAGCCAGGUUUGGAUGUGACUGAGAUCUCACUAGUGGUCCUUCUGAUGAUGGAGCUCAGUAGCUGCAGCCUGGAACAUCACACCUCUCUUAGUUCUCAUAAAGCAGACGUCAGUUAUGUAAUCUCUCUCUCUUUCUCAGACUCAGA
ensembl:lncRNA